GGCGGCGUGCCUAAUACAUGCAAGUCGAACGAAGAGGUAAGCUUGCUUACUUCUUAGUGGCGAACGGGUGAGUAAUACAUAAGCAAUCUGCCCAUAUGCCUGGGAUAACCGUUGGAAACGAUGGCUAAUACCGGAUAGGUGAAUUGAAGGCAUCUUUGAUUCAUUAAAGUUGGGAAACAGCACAUAUGGAUGAGCUUAUGGCGCAUUAGCUAGUUGGUGAGGUAACGGCUCACCAAGGCGAUGAUGCGUAGCCGACCUGAGAGGGUGACCGGCCACACUGGGACUGAGACACGGCCCAGACUCCUACGGGAGGCAGCAGUAGGGAAUUUUCGGCAAUGGGGGAAACCCUGACCGAGCAACGCCGCGUGAGUGAAGAAGGCCUUCGGGUUGUAAAGCUCUGUUGUAAGGGAAGAAGAGAUCAUAGAGGGAAUGCUAUGAUUGUGACGGUACCUUACCAGAAAGCCACGGCUAACUACGUGCCAGCAGCCGCGGUAAUACGUA
rnacentral:rRNA from 1 species